UACAGAGGUCUCAAGCGUUGUUCGGAUUCAUUGGGCGUAAAGGGUGCGUAGGCGGCGCGGUAAGUCGGGUGUGAAAUUUCGAGGCUUAACUUCGAAACUGCAUUCGAUACUGCCGUGCUUGAGGACUGGAGAGGAGACUGGAAUUUACGGUGUAGCGGUGAAAUGCGUAGAUAUCGUAAGGAAGACCAGUGGCGAAAGCGGCGCGCUGGAUCCCCACUGACGCUGAGGCACGAAAGCCAGGGGAGCAAACGGG
rnacentral:rRNA from 1 species